rnacentral:lncRNA from 1 species
AAAUGUCUUCACGAUUCCUGUGCCCUGGAAUAGACUGGGACAUAUUCUGCUAAAAGACUGCAGUCCUCUCAAACUUUAUUCUGCUUCUUCAUUUUCCAGAAAAGCUCAGGACCUUUCAGUAUCUUUCUCCAGAAGAUGAAAUGAGCCCAUAAACAGCCCGGUGUUCAUUCUGGCCAGCAAAACGCACUUCAGAUUUCAGGGUCUAACGUAUCCCAGCUUGGCCAGACGCACUGUAACUAUAAAGCUGAGAAUAAAUUUGAACUGCGGAUCCUUCUUGCAUGUGCUCAACUGGCCAGGAAGAAGGACGCUGCAACAGGAUCCUUCUGCACACGUUUAUUGGGAGAGCAUUGAUUGC